rnacentral:misc_RNA from 1 species
ACAAACUUGGUCAUUUAGAGGAAGUAAAAGUCGUAACAAGGUUACCGUAGGUGAACCUGCGGUAGGAUCAUUAAUAACAAUUUUAUUUAUGUGACACUUGUGCACUGCUUAUUAAUGAACAGUUUGUUCAUUAAUGAGAAUGUCAAGAGUUUCUUGGCAUUGUUUUACCAUAUUUUUGAAUUUGACUUGUAGCCUUUUUAUUAAUAAUAACUUUUAACAAUGGAUCUCUUGGCUCUUGCAUCGAUGAAGAACGCAGC